UGCAACCUCACGACCUUCAUUUCCUCCCCUGUACGCAGAGUCUGUCAUCCUUCUCAUAGAGGAACACAACGAGGAAAAUGGAUGAUACCAUAAUCUGUGGAUGGCUUUAGUGAAAGUCACCCUGAAACCCCAAAGGAAGAAUGUAAAAGGAAUCCUUGAUAUUCUAGACAUCACUGCUACAUGCUUUUCUACUCUCUGGAAAUGCUACCCUAACCUUUCCAAUUAAUAACCUUGCUACUACCAAAUAUAAAAAUAAAUAUUUGAGUAAUGCCUACAAAGGGUAUAUUUUGCUUCCAGUCAUUGCAUACUGAAGAACUUGGAAGUACCUAUGCGAGUCUGAGUAAUUGCUUGUAUGAUGUAACUGAAUUAAAUUCAGUAAGGUUUCUUUCUACUAAAUGUGGUUAACUACAUUUCUCUAUUCGGGUUUCCUUGGCCUCACAGUGAGCAUAAAUCUAUAUCCCAAAUAUGUGUGAAUGAAUAUCUAAUUUUACUUCAAUGUUUGUGUCUUCUAUUAAGUUUCUGUGAAAUUACAUUGGUUUAUUAAUACAGCU
rnacentral:lncRNA from 10 species